rnacentral:rRNA from 1 species
UACGAAGGGGGCUAGCGUUGCUCGGAAUCACUGGGCGUAAAGCGCACGUAGGCGGAUUGCUAAGUCAGGGGUGAAAUGCCGAGGCUCAACCUCGGAACUGCCUUUGAUACUGGCGAUCUUAGAGUCCGGGAGAGGUGAGUGGAACUCCGAGUGUAGAGGUGAAAUUCGUAGAUAUUCGGAAGAACACCAGUGGCGAAGGCGGCUCACUGGCCCGGUACUGACGCUGAGGUGCGAAAGCGUGGGGAGCAAACAGG